GUGUGCAGAGCGAGGACUAUCGCGGCGGACAAAAGCCACAAACUCAGAACACACAGUCUGCCGCCGGGGAGACCGUCUUCGCCAGCGAGGAGCUGCAGCUCAGAGUAACGGGCCUGCUGAGAAGACGAAAGUUGCCCUGGAAAGAUGGACGACCCGCUCGGCGCUUCACCCACGUCCCCCCUCCGUCACUAUCAACGGAGUGAAUGGCAUGAAAAAUGGCGAGCGCACGCCUCUCACCAUGUCUUUGAAGGCAUUCUCGAUGGCCCCGAUCACCAGGCUCUCCUGUGAAACCUUCUUCUCCGUGAAGAAGCGCGUGGGCGGGGCGCUGGGUGAACCCGGAGCCCCCGCGGCGCCCCGGAGGGA